rnacentral:rRNA from 1 species
GGAAGGUGGGGACGACGUCAAGUCAUCAUGGCCCUUACGAGUAGGGCUACACACGUGCUACAAUGGUCGGUACAAAGGGUUGCCAACUCGCGAGAGUGAGCCAAUCCCGAAAAGCCGAUCUCAGUCCGGAUCGGAGUCUGCAACUCGACUCCGUGAAGUCGGAAUCGCUAGUAAUCGUAGAUCAGAAUGCUACGGUGAAUACGUUCCCGGGCCUUGUACACACCGCCCGUCACACCAUGGGAGUGGACUGCACCAGAAGUGGUUAGCCUAACGCAAGAGGGCGAUCACCACGGUGUGGUUCAUGACUGGGGUGAAGUCGUAACAAGGUAGCCGUAGGGGAACCUGCGGCUGGAUCACCUCCUUAAUCGAUGA